CUGUCUGUCAAAUAAAUAAAUAAAAUCUUAAGAAAUAAAUAAAUAAAACAAAACCUUACAGGAUUAUUUUCUUGGUGUCUCCUCCUACCCAGACCCUUCCCAGGACUGCCUCCACCCUCCUUUCAAGUUACCUGACUUUCUGCCGUGGCCCAUUCAGUCCACAAACACUGGACACCUACCAUGCAGCGUCCCCUACACUAGGCACCCACGUUACAGCAAAGUAACGAAGUCCUCAAAAGGAUAGAGCCCAGAGAGGCAACACAGCCGCACAAGCAAGUUGUCACAACGUCGUCACUGGCAUGGUGACCGCAGGGAGGAAAGGAGCUGCCUCGGAGAUAGUGGGCCGCACGGAACAGCCCAGGGGCAAGUGGGUGGGGUCACGUGGUCAGCUGUGACCCCUGAAAUGGGAGGGAAGUGAUGUGCCUUCCUUUCAGCCAAGGCAACGCAAAGCAGAUCUGCGGUUCUCCAUUCUCUCUUGCCCUGCUCUAAGCACUCGGAGACGGUUCUAGAGGGUGCAGCUCCAAGACCGUGGGGCCUCCGUAAGCCCAGCGGCUGGAGUGCACGGUGCGUUGACCUGUACGGGACAUGUGACAGGAGCCAGGCAGGAGCCCCGAGUCACACCGCAGACCCUCGGUGGUUUGUCGCUGUAGCAUAUGGCAGUGCAGCUAAGUUAAGAGCGGCCGUGUGUGCCUCUCCAGUCCCUGGAAAUCGGGCUAUCUCUUUAGAAACCUCACUCGUUACCCUUUCCGACCCUCUCUGAAAAUAUAACGGGAACCCAAGGUACUGUGCGAAGUGCUUUUCAUUACAGUGGAAAUCGGCCAUUUCUCCAAGCUUAGCGCCGGCUCAGCGGAAGCGCCCACCACCCCCGCUUGUCACCUUGCUCUCUGGUGUAUCUUGUUCCCAGCCCAUCAGAACACCUAGGGAGGGUCUCACCCGUCCCUCCCGCAUGCUCCCCAUCCCCCUGCCCGCCCCCACUCCUUCCCUCUGGCCUGUCUCUCUGUUCAUCUGAAGCUGAGUAUGAGAGCGAGGCCGGUGUGUGGGCCGCUGACCAGGAGAGGCUCACGUGGGCACCCAGCUCUCAAGAUCUGGGAGACCUGGAAUGUUCUCCUGUCUAGCUCAUCAGAGAUCCCUACGUAGAAGUGGAGGUUGCUUUCACGGGUAAAUUCUCUACCUCCUCUCCCUACUGGUAAAGGAUCUCGAGGGGUAUUUUCCAGAAUUCUGCAGGGCAGAAAAGAUAAAUGCCAAGAUCCAGGCUUCAGCUCCCUGAGAGUAGAGUUCCUAACGCUGAUCAUGCCUAAUUCUUUUUCUGUCUCUCAGGGUGCCCAGCACCUAGUAAGUCAGCAACUACGGAUUGCCUCGCAGUCUCCAUCCACGUGGAGCCUCCCUGACCCCAAUACAGACUCUCCAGCACUUCUGCCCCUGGUGUGCCCAAUGCAUAGAGUGGCCCUUAGCACGGGGUACUGUCUUCCCACAACCCCGGCCCCUCUUUAAGGAUGAGGACUUGAUCCGUCCCCCUCGUCCCCCACACCCAGUGCGCCGUGUGGUCAUCAAUAAAUUUUGUGGAAGAGAUAAAAAAAUGAAUUAACCUGUUGGCCAUUCUUUGCAAGAAAGGCAUGCUUUUGUUGAACCCAAAUCCUGCUGGCCGCAGCUCUUGCUCAGCCAUGGACACAAAGUCACGGACGUCCACCGCGGAGACAUGGCCCGUGGGUGUGGUCAGGAUUUACAGCUCAUGGCUCUAGGGUCGAAGCAUAGGCCUAAGGCCUAUUCGCUUAGCAAGUGUGUUCACCCCAGUUCUCUUCUAGCUUGUGGAGAGCCCAGGGAGAUGAUUUUCUGGAAACACAGAUCAUGAGUUCACUGACUGUCAUUGCAAAUCGCUGUGCCAACAAAGUGUAGGGAAUGUCUCAGACGACACAGAUAAAAAAAGUCCUACAUUUUCUUCUAGCAGAUUCCGGUCUGAUCCUGAAGGUUUCAAGGCAACUGCAGUAUUAGGGAUAAUUUGAAUUAAGUGUAUUGUUCUGAGUACUUUAGUUGAAAUUAGACUUCUUUCCCCUACAAUGUUUAGGGGCAUCCCUGUGUUUACAUGUGUCUUACCCCUUUUAAAACACAACUGAUUUGAAAUCCCACUCCUUAGAGAAAACCAUUAGAGACAUAACUGGGCUAUUUUCCUAUGCAGACAUAUGCAUAGCUGUAUGAUUUUAAUACCGUUCUAUAAUUUUAUUUAACAAUUCAAACAAACAUUUCUAAUAUGAACAGAUGAACACCUGUGGCUCCUAGGUAACGACUGUGAUGUUUUCCAUUGCAUAAAUGGGCUACAGUUUGCCAUCUGUACGUGUAGGUUUUUCACAGUCUGAAGUCGCUGAGCAUGUCACGUCCUCCUGCUUUGUGGAAAGCGGGACAUAGGAUUAUGACAAGGGGCGAAUGAAACCAUACAUCUAAAGGACUCAGGGGACUUUGUGCCACGUGGUAAGUGCUCGAUUUUAUUUGCAGUACUCUUGUUUUCAUCGUCUGUCUUCUUGGAGUCCGUUCUUGGAAGCAGAAUUGCUAAUUCCAGGGCGAUUUUCAGAUUCUCCAGAUCAUGGACUUUUUUUUUUUAGGAUUUUGAUACUUUUCACCUCAUUCUCAUGUAGAAAGAUUGUACCCCUGGAAGCGAACGGGUCUGCUUAUUUCCUGAGCAUUGUCAACAGGGCACAGGACUUGAAUUUAUAUUUGAGCCCAGAUGAUGGGUGGUUGGAGGUGGACUCUGGGGCAGUCACGUCUCUUCUGGAAAUCUGGAAUUGCUGCGUGUGAGUAAACUGAGGGGCAGCUAAACCUCGGGAGACUCUAUUUUGCCUCUCCUUGCACUGGAUUCAGAAGUAGCCAAGUGAAGAGGGUAAAGAGCCAUGGUCUCCCCAUGUCCACUUUAGCUCCACCCCUGGACCCUCCUCCCACUGAAUUUAAAGAUUCAGACUUUAAAUGGUUCAUGUUUGGUGCACCAGAGCCUCCAAAACCACGCUGUAUCCUUUAGGUCA